CUACUAAUCAAAUAUAUGCCUUUUCUAGAGCUUUACAGUCUCAUGAAAUCAAAAAUGACACCUGAACUGCAGAGCUAACAAAUCCUCUGAGCGAUGGAAUCAACUGAAAAAUGACAGAAAUGACAGCGGUCAGUGAAAGAAAUCUGGGACUUCUACACUUCAGGCAUUCAGGGAGGAAGAGGAAACAAACAGCACAGGGUGAAGUCUCAAUGAGAAGACCUUCCUGUGCCACAGAGGAGGACAGGACAUUUGACAGCUUUUGAUUUCCUGGACGUUGUCAGAUCACUUAUGCCAAGCCUCAGAAAAGACUGUCAAGAAGAUACUUAUCUUUUGCAUGCUUGAGUAAAGGUAUGCAGGAUGGUAAGACUGAGGGGCUAGGAGGAUUAUAAUGGUAUGGUUAGCUUUUUACCUCUAUGUCACAAGUUCAAAUAUAGGCCAAGAGGAAUAUUUCCCAUUCGUUACAGCUGCUCUUCAGUGGCUUUGAAAAAUAGGUUGGUGAUAAUGACUUAGUCCUAGUGUGUAGACAGGUAACUCUUGUACAGUACAAGAUUCAAAGACUGAAGCAAACUGGCAGACUAAGGCCACCAGUAAUCAAGAACUGUGGUUCAGAUUUUUAAAUGUAUCUACUUGUUUUUAACAUGCAAGCAGUUGCCUAUUGCAGUUUUUAGGAGCUUGAAUCUCUCACCUCCAGCCGAAGUAAGUGAAGUUCUGCUACCUAAGCCCUUUACACAAAUCUAAGUAGCCAUUUAUCUGAAACACUGAAUACCUUUAAAAAUUACAGCCUAGUGUCCUCAACAAAUUUUCAGUGCUACCUUGCUUCAUCACUGUUCAGUACAGCCUCAGUAAUCUUCUGAUUUCCCCCUCGUUUACACCAGCACAUAUUGUAAAAGAGAAGAUGGAUGGCACAGUUUAUUAGCUUUCAAGUACACUGCUGCAAGCAAAGUCUCCUUUCACAGCAAUGUCUUCCACUCRUAUCAGAGAUAGCAGACUAGUAUAGAGAUGAAGCUG
rnacentral:lncRNA from 1 species